rnacentral:lncRNA from 1 species
AGUAAUCUGCAAAAGACAUAGUGACGAGACAGCAUCUCUUAGCAUCUGGGUCAAGAAAACUUGUACUUUAUUCCUCAAUUGGACUUCCAGGUACUGUCUAGAAGGGGUCCAGUAGAACCAGAAGAGUUUUCUCAGAGAGGAAGCAACAUUUUACAACUGAAUCUACACUACAUAUACAGAAGAGUCCAAAGUUGGAAACCUAAGCAAUCCAAGAAAUCGCUGUCCCUACAGAAGUUAAACAAUAGGAUACUUUCUCUCCUGCUUUAAUAAAUGGUUGUUAUCUUGCUCUGAAGAUAAUUGAAGCAGUGGACAUCUCAUAUCCUUUUCUACUUAUUGGGCUAGAGUCAGAGUCACCCUGACUCUGACUUAUUUUUUAAUUGAUAAGCUCUUCAAGUCAGAGAGAACUUGGUGCAACUCCAGGCUCUCCUAAUUAUUUAUGGAAAUAAAUAAAUAUGGACAAGUCCAUUACUAAGUCUGUAAAAUCGAGAAAAUAUGAUAAACCAUGCAUGAUUAUAUUGAGUAUUUAAUAAAGGAUCUUUGGUACCAGGCA